rnacentral:tRNA from 1 species
CGGGGCGUGGCGUAGCUUGGUAGCGCGCUUCAAACUUGCAGUGAAGAGGUCGUUGGUUCAAAUCCAACCGCUCCGA